GACGGAGGAUGCAAGCGUUAUCCGGAAUGAUUGGGCGUAAAGCGUCCGCAGGUGGCAGUUCAAGUCUGCUGUCAAAGACCGGGGCUUAACUUCGGAAAGGCAGUGGAAACUGAACAGCUAGAGUAUGGUAGGGGCAGAGGGAAUUCCAGGUGUAGCGGUGAAAUGCGUAGAGAUCAGGAAGAACAUCGGUGGCGAAGGCGCUCUGCUGGACCAUAACUGACACUCAGGGACGAAAGCUAGGGGAGCGAAUGGG
rnacentral:rRNA from 1 species